CCGAUGAGGCCCCCAACCCUCCAAGCAGCAGCGAGGAGAGCACAGGCAGCUGGACCCAGCUUGCCAAUGAGGAGGACAACCCAGAUGACACAAGUAGCUUUCUCCAGCUUAGUGAGCGAUCCAUGAGCAAUGGCAACAGUAGUGCCACUAGCAGUCUUGGCAUUAUGGAUCUGGACAUUUAUCAGGAAAGCAUGCCAUCUUCUCCCAUGAUUAAUGAAUUAGUAGAAGAAAAGGAGAUUCUUAAAGGACAGUCAGAAAGCAUAGAGGCACCUGCAUCUGGACUGCCUGUGGGAACAGCCAGCCCCCAGAGGAGCCUGCUGGUGAUCAACUUUGACCUGGAGCCAGAGUGUCCAGAUGCCGAGCUCCGAGCCACUCUGCAGUGGAUAGCUGCCUCUGAACUGGGGAUUCCCACCAUCUACUUUAAGAAAUCUCAGGAAAACAGAAUUGAAAAGGUAUCAUGUACCAGGUUUGGAAAACAAGAAAGCUUUGUGUUUUCAUCACCAUUGGAAACUCAGUAAAUGCUCAGUAAACCCAUGUCCAUUUG
rnacentral:sRNA from 1 species